CUCUUCUCCAGUUUUUGAGAAGCAACCUAGAACUAAGGAGAAAUUUCCGAACAGUGAAAGCCAUCAACUAAUGGAAUAGCUUGUUUUCAGAAGUUGUGGGUGCUCCAUCACUGGAGACCUUCAAAAAGAG